GGAGGUCACAUCUGCCUCGGCGAGGCCAGUUGGGUGUUUGUAAACGCUGUCUUCUGGGGCUGGGUCGUUACACAAGGUUCUGUGCUUGUUGUUCUGUUGAUACGCGUUUUCAGUCCCCGGCUUUCCACAGAAGAGCCUCUAAAUGAGGUUCAGAUGUACGCUAAAGACACAGAAAACAAACUGCAGAGAAAGGACUUGCGACUGAAUUACGUCUUAACUUUUUUAAGUCAUUGUCUGUGGGUCCCGAUGUCCAAAAACCCCUUAGGUGCUGUUUAUCAGAUGGAAGAAGAAAUACUGCUUUACUCAUGGCUGAAGAAAGUGAAGUGGCUGAAGACACCCGAGCUUGAAAUCAGAGACAAGAGCUUUUCCCUGGGCUGGCUGUCCUCCAUGUAUUCUGUCUUGCUCCCCCUUACGUGAGGUCCAGUGACUGUGAGACUGCAGAAUGAAUCAGGACGCCCUGCCUCUCAGGAAAAGAAGGGAGGAAAAGAACUGAUGAACACAGAGAUCUCAGCAUCUGGGCCAUUAUAUACCUCCCCCCUGCCAAAAACUUCAUUACCAGGCUGACAAUGUCAGUUGUUCUGACAUUAAGAGGGAAGUUUUGUAUUACAUCUAAAGCAAAGUGACUGCGUGCUGCUGCCUUCAAGGAGCCCUUCCACUGCUCCUUCCUCAACCUCCCCCACCAGGGAGCUCUGGCCCCUUCCCUGAAGGCAAUUCUAGGGAUUGUGCAGCUGAAUGGUGAGCGGCUCAGAGCUGAUCCAGUGCAAGCUCAUCCACCAAGCAAGUGCAGUAAUAAAAAAAAAGCAUUUUA